GGGGGGGGAGCUAUACAUGCAGUCGAGCGAACAGAUAAGGAGCUUGCUCCUUUGACGUUAGCGGCGGACGGGUGAGUAACACGUGGGUAACCUACCUAUAAGACUGGGAUAACUUCGGGAAACCGGAGCUAAUACCGGAUAACAUUUGGAACCGCAUGGUUCUAAAGUGAAAGAUGGUUUUGCUAUCACUUAUAGAUGGACCCGCGCCGUAUUAGCUAGUUGGUAAGGUAACGGCUUACCAAGGCGACGAUACGUAGCCGACCUGAGAGGGUGAUCGGCCACACUGGAACUGAGACACGGUCCAGACUCCUACGGGAGGCAGCAGUAGGGAAUCUUCCGCAAUGGGCGAAAGCCUGACGGAGCAACGCCGCGUGAGUGAUGAAGGGUUUCGGCUCGUAAAACUCUGUUAUUAGGGAAGAACAAACGUGUAAGUAACUGUGCACGUCUUGACGGUACCUAAUCAGAAAGCCACGGCUAACUACGUGCCAGCAGCCGCGGUAAUACGUAGGUGGCAAGCGUUAUCCGGAAUUAUUGGGCGUAAAGCGCGCGUAGGCGGUUUCUUAAGUCUGAUGUGAAAGCCCACGGCUCAACCGUGGAGGGUCAUUGGAAACUGGGAAACUUGAGUGCAGAAGAGGAAAGUGGAAUUCCAUGUGUAGCGGUGAAAUGCGCAGAGAUAUGGAGGAACACCAGUGGCGAAGGCGACUUUCUGGUCUGUAACUGACGCUGAUGUGCGAAAGCGUGGGGAUCAAACAGGAUUAGAUACCCUGGUAGUCCACGCCGUAAACGAUGAGUGCUAAGUGUUAGGGGGUUUCCGCCCCUUAGUGCUGCAGCUAACGCAUUAAGCACUCCGCCUGGGGAGUACGACCGCAAGGUUGAAACUCAAAGGAAUUGACGGGGACCCGCACAAGCGGUGGAGCAUGUGGUUUAAUUCGAAGCAACGCGAAGAACCUUACCAAAUCUUGACAUCCUUUGAAAACUCUAGAGAUAGAGCCUUCCCCUUCGGGGGACAAAGUGACAGGUGGUGCAUGGUUGUCGUCAGCUCGUGUCGUGAGAUGUUGGGUUAAGUCCCGCAACGAGCGCAACCCUUAAGCUUAGUUGCCAUCAUUAAGUUGGGCACUCUAGGUUGACUGCCGGUGACAAACCGGAGGAAGGUGGGGAUGACGUCAAAUCAUCAUGCCCCUUAUGAUUUGGGCUACACACGUGCUACAAUGGACAAUACAAAGGGCAGCUAAACCGCGAGGUCAUGCAAAUCCCAUAAAGUUGUUCUCAGUUCGGAUUGUAGUCUGCAACUCGACUACAUGAAGCUGGAAUCGCUAGUAAUCGUAGAUCAGCAUGCUACGGUGAAUACGUUCCCGGGUCUUGUACACACCGCCCGUCACACCACGAGAGUUUGUAACACCCGAAGCCGGUGGAGUAACCAUUUAUGGAGCUAGCCGUCGAAGGGUGAUC
rnacentral:rRNA from 1 species